GGAGGAUCAUUAUCGUAGGGCUUCGGCCCUGUCGAGAUAGAACCCUUGCCUUUUUGAGUACCUUUCGUUUCCUCGGCAGGCUCGCCUGCCAAUGGGGACCACAAAAAACACUUUGCAGUACCUGUAACAGUCUGAACAAACAAAACAAAAAUUAAAACUUUCAACAACGGAUCUCUUGGUACUGGCAUCGAUGAAGAACGCAGCGAAAUGCGAUAAGUAGUGUGAAUUGCAGAAUUCAGUGAAUCAUCGAAUCUUUGAACGCACAUUGCGCCCUUUGGUAUUCCUUAGGGCAUGCCUGUUCGAGCGUCAUUUAAACCUUCAAGCUAAGCUUGGUGUUGGGUGACUGUCCGCUUCACUGCGGACUCGCCUCAAAAUUAUUGGCGGCCGGUACAUUGGCUUCGAGCGCAGCAGAAACGCGAACUCGGGCCCGUCGUAUUGGCUCCCAGAAGCUAUCUUCACAAUUUUGACCUCGGAUCAGGUAGGGAUACCCGCUGAACUUAAGCAUAUCAAUAAGCGGAGGA
rnacentral:rRNA from 1 species